ensembl:lncRNA
CAAAAGUACUUUUUAAAUCUUUAUUUUAAAUUUCUUCUUACUGACACAACAUUUCCAAUGUCUUAGCAUUAAGAAACGUGGCACUGUGAAGGAAUGAUGAGUGGCAGUAUAUAAGGGCUGGAAGUAAGGGGCUGAAGUUUCAUGUGGAUUUGUGUCUUGUGGCUGAGUCCUGCUUCUGUAGAUUUUCUCCUUAAAGGGUCUUAAUGAUGAAUAAGUUUUACAGGCUCUGCUACAGGAAAGGGAGCAAUUAUACAGCUCUCUUCAUUCCUGAGGCUUCCUGAGGCUUCCUGAGUUCCUCUCAUGAUUGUGAAGGUG